UACGAAGGGGGGCUAGCGUUGCUCGGAAUCACUGGGCGUAAAGCGCACGUAGGCGGAUUGUUAAGUCAGUGGUGAAAGCCCGGAGCUCAACUCCGGAACUGCCAUUGAAACUGUAAGACUUGAGGAUGAGAGAGGUGAGUGGAAUUCCCAGUGUAGAGGUGAAAUUCGUAGAUAUUGGGAAGAACACCGGUGGCGAAGGCGGCUCACUGGCUCAUUACUGACGCUCAGGCGCGACAGCGUGGGGAUCAAACAGG
rnacentral:rRNA from 1 species